rnacentral:rRNA from 1 species
CCCUUAGAUGUUCUGGGCCGCACGCGUGCUACACUGAUGCAUUCAACGAGUCUAAAACCUGCUCUGAUAGGGGUGGGUAAUCUUUUGAAUGUGCAUCGUGAUUGGGAUAGAUGAUUGCAAUUUUUCAUCUUCAACGAGGAAUGCCUAGUAAACGCAAGUCAUCAGCUUGCAUUGAUUACGUCCCUGCCCUUUGUACACACCGCCCGUCGCUCCUACCGAUUGAAUGAUCCGAUGAAUAUCAUGGAUUGAGGAUGCAAGUAGGUUCGCCUAUCUUCAUCUUCGAGAAGUGAAGUAAAUCUUAUCAUUUAGAGGAAGGAGAAGUCGUAACA